CAGUCGCCACGGGAAUACGUAGGGUGCGAGCGUUAAUCGGAAUUACUGGGUGUAAAGCGUGCGCAGGCGGUUUUGUAAGACAGGCGUGAAAUCCCCGGGCUUAACCUGGGAACUGCAUUUGUGACUGGCGAGCUAGAGUAUGGCAGAGGGGGGUAGAAUUCCACGUGUAGCAGUGAAAUGCGUAGAGAUGUGGAGGAAUACCGAUGGCGAAGGCAGCCCCCUGGGCCAAUACUGACGCUCAUGCACGAAAGCGUGGGGAGCAAACAGGAUUAGAUACCCCGGUAGUCCCUGUCUCUUAUAA
rnacentral:rRNA from 1 species